AGGGAAGGUGGCUGUUUUUCAGAUCGGGUUUCCGAUUCCGACCACGACGGCGAGCGUGAAUGGUACUGGUAGCUUCGUCUUGCCAUCCUCGUUCUAUAUGUGGUCUCGAAAUCUUCAGAGGAGCCUUCAUGAGUGAGAAUCGAUUAAUUGAAGCUCAAGAAGUUUCCCGGCGAGAGUUCGAUGUUUUCCGGUCACCGGCGAAGGCAAGUGAGGUAUCAAUCUUGAUCUUCUCGUCGGGCUUUACCUCUAUAUAUACUUUAAAUUGAGCUUGGUAGUGUUUGGAAGAAGUUGGAAUUUUGGCAGAGAGGACUGCCGUGAGUGCUGCUGUGUAUGGCGGCGGUAGGUGGUUGUUCUGGUAGUUUCUGAUUUUGUUAGUUUAUUGAUUAUGAAGGAGUAAAUUGAGAUGUUUGGAUUCGAGAAAUAGAGGAGUUAGGUAUUUGGAAGAUUAAACUGUCAGCUGGGUUGGGCAGGAGUUUGGAAUUGCCAUACUGGGUUCUUUUGGUUUUAAUGUUGUCAAUUUGGUUAAGCUGUGUUGAUAAUAGUAGUUGAAAGUGGACUAUCAAAUUGGUGUUGGCGGAAUGGAGCAGAUGUCCAGUUGAUGGCUUUACUGUGUAAUUGCUAUUGUUAUAUUUGAUUAACUGAAAUGGAAGAAUUGGGUAUUUGGAAGGCUAAGUUUUGUUUGCUGAGUUGCUUAGGAAGUUUGAGAGCAGUACAAGACUUCAUAUGGUUUUGAAGUUUUGCAGUUUUAGUUACUGUGCUUGAAUUUCAAGUUGGAGAGGUGUGUUGACGAAUUGGGAAGUACGGCCAACUAUGAUGAUAUGAAAUAAUGUAUAAUGGUGAUUGUUGGACUUUUGUGUUAUAAUGGAAACUGCCGUAUAUGGAGACAUGUUCAUUGUGAAUAAGUCUACAAGUUACUUGUUAUGCGGGUGUAAAGGAGACGAGAAGAGUGAUCGUGAGUUUAUACAGGAAGUAAUUAAGAGGAUUUGGGUGUCCAUAGUGAAUUUGUAAUUGGAUGGGUGUCCUUGGUAAAUUUUAGAUAUUGAUAAUUUCGACUUGAAGAGAUUCGCCUACUUUCUCGGAUUGAGGAUUUGGUACGAGGAUCGAAUGCGAGUAGUUGGAUUGCAGUUCCAAAAGUAGAAGGAUAAGGAUUUCAGAAGCAUGUCGCUGAGUUACAAAUUUUAGCUGGUGUCAGAACUAACAUUUGGAUUCCAGAGACGAUCGGUUGCCAACUCCAGCAAUCGUGGUAAGGAGUUGGAGCACCACUGAGGGAGGAAACUUAUCAUUUACCGGGUGGCCAAGCUAAGGGAUAAGGGUGCUUCAUUACCGGUGGUUGACGUACGUGUACCCGGUGACAUACUACAUCAACCAGCCUAAAGCUGCUGAGCAUUAUUAAAAGUUGAAGAAUAGGGUGCUAUUGCCAAGACUUUGCAGAGCACUCAACACCCGGACAUCCCACCGGAUCAGCUACCUCCUUUGCACUGGCCAACUCAACUAAGUGUUGUCAAAAACGCUAUGGGAGAAACAAAAGGGUCUUACCUUCGUGGUAUUGGACGAGCAGGCAUCCUAGAGAAGAGCACAAGGUCAACAUCUUCCCCUUCACGCUCUCGACCGAAUAAUGAGGCGAUGGCAGCGAUAGAGGCUGCUAAAAAGGAGGCGGCUGAAGCACAAGAGAGGGCCCAAAAAGCCGAGAAGAUCGCUGAGCAGUCUGCUGUAGAUUAUCAAGUUUUGAAGUUGCAAAUGGAUCAAAUCAUGGCUCGAAUAGGGCUACAGCCUAUGUGUUCACCCUUGGUCCUAAGCCAACAACCUCGAGACGACGAUGAUGAUAGAGGCCUUGACACUUCUCCGAUUAGUUUAAGAAAUCAGUAGAUUUUUCUAGUUUAAAUAAUUGUACAAACAAUACUAUCUAAUAUUUCUUUUGUUCGGUACGAUAACUUUAUUAUUAUUAGUAAUAUAAAUAUUUCGGUUAAUUUA